UUUAAACAACAAUAAUUUUAACUUUGUUACUACGUUUGCUCUUCUUCAGCCAUAGAAUUAUUAUAUGUCUUCUAACAAUACUGUCGAUCCUUUUAGAAUCAUUCCUACACUAACUACCUUGUAGUUAUCACAUUCUGAGAAGACGAGUUUCAUUUUUUUUCUCGACAUCCUUUGUUUCGCGAGACGCAACAUCUUCAGUUUGUUCCACGACAUUCGUGGAAAAUACGGCUUCUGUCUGGUGACACUUGAAAAUUCUUAGUUAAUUCUCGUGAUUGUAAAUCAUUCCUCAUGUUAAAGAUAAAAGAGAUAAGAAAAUGUAUCGGACGGAAUACGUCAUACCCUGGGUUCAGAUGCGAGCGAGUGAAGAGUACAUUCUAAAAGCAUCUAGGCAAUAUCCCGUGGUAAGAGAACUUUCCAAACGAAUUCGGAGAGUUUAAUAAUUAACGUCGAGAGCGGCAGUGCUCGCUGAACGUUCUAUUCCGGGGGGUAGUUCGUUCACGCUGAAACUGAGACAAGCCCGUGAGAUACGGAAAAACCAUUUUCCGCCGUAUUCGGAAAUCUAUCACUCGGGAUGAAAUUUUCUUUCCAACCAUUCGAUACUGCUGUCUCGGAUGAUGAUGCACCGGCUUAUCUUGGAUUAAGUAUCAAACUGUCGUCUGCUUGUUCAUAGGGUGAUUUUUAAAUUUGGAUCCGUUCGCUCUUCGAAAUUCGAUUACGUAUUUUAACAACAACAAAGAAGACAGCGCAAAAUCGGCAUAUGAGCGUCUUCAUAGCGUAGAUUUCGAUCUUUCCAAGCCACGAUGUGAUCGUACCAAGCCUAGCCUUUAUUGGUUGGAAAUCUCAAAGGAAAACCAAGGCCACAAGGUCCCGAUGACUACUAAUCUGUGGUACGGUCGACCGAACAGAGUUCAAGUCGAUUUUCCUGGGACUAAAUUUAAUCGAUCGAGCAAAAUGCAAGAGUUCUACAUUCGCUGUGGUUUUAGUCUAGUUAGCGGCGAGGAAAACGGAUCAUUCUGCUAGAGUGAAUCUGUUAGGCAAGCUUUUUUGAUUCUUUUUUUUUCUAACAUUAGUUCGACCGAUUUUAUUAAUAUUACAUAUAAUAUAAAAUACGAUUGAAAAGUGUUACUAUCAUUACACCACAUUUAUGUAGAAUUCGUUAAAACCAUGCUUCGUAUGCAUGUAAAAUAUUAAAUUUGAAUGAUAUUUAAUAAAGUGAUAAAAAGAUUGCAUU